UUUGGGGUUUUUGUUUCAUUUUCUUUUAUUUUUCUUUUUAAGUUGUUUUGUUUUUUUCUUCCUCAAAGACCAAAUUUAAUAUCAAGCUCCCAGGGUUUGGUAGAGCAUGGCCACAGUCCUGUUCUCAUUAGGGAACUGGAUUGCUGGCUGGCAGUGUUCUGCAGAGACCAAUCCAUACCCGCCUUUAUUUGUAAUCAGCCAUUUCGAUUCAGCCACCAGAGCCGGGAUUGGCUCCUGCCUGCUGAGGUCAAUUGCCCAAGGGCAAGCACAUGGUGACAGCUAGCACAUUCCUGUGCCCAACAGAGGAGGCACCAGAGCCAGAGGUAAUCUGAGGCUGGGGCUGUUUCCAAAGAGCAGGGACCUUGUGAAAGGGAAAAGCCAGAUUAAAGGGGAAUCAUAAUCCUUGACUAUGCAGUGACAGCCUGGGAAGAGAGGUUGGCUCAAAAAGGCCAAGGGUCUUCCCUCAAGAAUGAUAGUGCCUCACUGUUGGCAAGAUGGAUAUAGGCUUGUGUCUCCAUCUUCUCCUUCUCUUGCAGGGGUAAGAAACAGAAUUACAGCAAAAAGCAGGGGACAGAAGUCUGGCUGUGGGGAUGAAACCUCCUAGCUUCUGCAGGUGAGAAGAUGAAGGACUGUGACUGUUUCACUGAAACAAGAACAAGACAGAAAGGGGCCCAAGACCAUCACAGAAGUUUAGCUUUCAACAUAUAUAAAGAAAGGGGCAACAAGUACACAGGCUCAGUGCCUGCUCUCUGGGAAAGGAAGCUCCAAGUAGCACCAUGGCUCCAUUCUGCUGCUAAGGAACAUGGAAUAGAAACAACAUUUGCAAACUUUACUGCUCUGCCAGCCCCCUGGGCACAUAUCUGCUCCUGCAGGAGAUGAAGAAGAAGGCUG